rnacentral:lncRNA from 1 species
GUUUUGCCUCAUUUGCAUCUGCUUCUUUCACAUUUUCUAGCUGUCUUAGCUCCAGCUGACCACCAAGGUCGUCUAACCACCCAAGUUCUCCCACCUUACUGCAACCGGAUCCAGCACCUGCUACAAAGCAUGUAAGGGUCUGUAGGGAAGUGAGGUGUCUAAGGUCAGCAGGCAUGGUCUUUAACUUUUCACAUCCGUGAGUGUAGAGGUGACGGAGGGCAGUCAUGUACUUCAUUCCCUUUGGAAGUCGUUCAAGAUUGCGACAGUCAGAAAGGUUCAAUGUUUGCAGAUGAUAUAGGAUGCUUAUAUAUUUAGGAAGUGAUUUAAUAUCAUAGCUUCCUGAGAGAUCAAGAUACCUCAGGUGAUGAAGACAUCUGGGUCCGAGGAAUGAAGCUCGGUUGAUCUUUAUCUUUAGUGCUCGCGGAGAUAUGUACUUCGACAAAAGCUGCAAGUCUACGAAUACAUCUGCCUCACAUAUCAGUGUUUGUAUAACGUCAUUAUCUUUAUCUUUAUCUUUAUCUUUAUCUUUAGUGCGUUUCUCCUGGUAAGCAUUCAGAAAAGUUUCUGAUAAUAAUAAAUGACGAGUUGAAUGUGAAAAAUCCCCACUUUUACUCUGUUCUGUAGCUAGAGCAGCGCAUUCUUUUCCCAUAGAAUCUAGUGCAACGUCAUGCAUAAGGUGAUGGAUCUUACAAGUAACUCUAGAGACCUCUAUAUCAGUGAACUCAAAUGGGAUCCCCUUCACAUCCUGGAAAAAUGACCUUGACGCAAGCUCAAUGAAAAUAUUUUUACCUGAAAUUUCAGGAUGUUCUUCUCCUUGUAGCACCGGGAUAAAAUCAUUGGCCAUCCAUAACUGGAUCAACAUUUCCACGUCAAUCUCAUAAUCCUUGGGAAACAUAGCACAGAAAGCAAAGCAUUGCCGCAUAUGUGAUGGCAAGCAAUUGUAACUAAGCUUGAGUACUGGUAAGAUUCCGUUUCUAUCAUCACAAAUCUUUUUUCUCCUUAGCACAUCCUUCCAUUCCCGCGCGGUGGUCAUGGUACUUAACACAGAGCCCAAUGCUGUAGCAGCUAAAGGAGAACCAGCACAUCUCUUUGCAACAUCACCAACCAUGUUAACUAGUUCACGGGGCCAAUCCUUUUCUUGUUUUGAGCUGAAUGCUCUUGACUUGAUAAUUUCCUCUAUGAAAUUUUCACCCAAGCGUCCAAGUUCAUAGGCUCCUUUAGCUGUACCCAUCAUUAGUUUUGCGACUUCUUGAUCACGAGUUGUUGUCAACACUGAACUGCCGCUGCCACCAUGAAGGUAGGACUUCAGUUUUUCCCACUUGUGUGCCUCAUCACGGUUCCAGACAUCAUCCAAUACGAGGAGGUACCUCUUCCCACUCACUACAUUUUGAAGCUUGUCCAAUGCUGAACUUCCAUUUGCUUGACAACCAUUCUUCUUAGCUUCUUUCGUUUCAAACUUCUUCUUAGCUUCUUUCACAAUUCUUUUAGCCAGGGUAUCCACAUCAAAGUUGUCAGAGACGCACACCCAGAGUUGCAGCUGGAAAUGCUUCUGAAUCUCAGGGUCAUUGUAAACAAGCUGUGCUAAGGUGGUCUUCCCCAUCCCUCCCAUCCCGACAAUAGGAAAGACCGUGAGAUUCACAUUGCUAGCUUUAUCAAGCAACGACUUAAUAAUCUUCUCCUUGUCUCCAGCUCUGGAUCUGCCGGCAAUGUCCACAGGGUCGAUGAUUUUAGAACUAUUCUCCCUCAAGUGAUUUACGGGCACUGGUGGCCCUUGCCGGAACUUGAACCCGAAACAAUUCAUCUCUGCGAUAAGGACAUCAAGUUCUUGCAAAAUUAUGCGGAGCUUGUUGCCCAUCUUGAUACGGAACACAAAACGGUUGUGAGAAGGGAAGAGCUUUAUUACAUCCAUGCCGAGCUCCUUGUAGUGCCCCUCCUCCCUGGCUUUGCGGCGGAGCGCCUCGUACUUGAAUUCGUCCAAGACGUCAUUCGCCUGGUAGGCCACUUGCCGGACCUCCUCCAGCCAAGCUUUCGCCCCUUCUCGCUUGGCUGCUGCCUGCUCCUCGGCGUCGGUGAUGACGUCCAGGAUGGCCGGCAGCUUGCGCUUGAGGAGCUUGUGCUGCUUCUCCAAGCCCUGCAUCACCUGGUACUGCUCCAGGAGGUAGCUGGAGGCCUUCUCCUUCACCAUGGACACCAGUGGCCCGACCACCAUGGUGGCCAGCACCUCAGCCAUCGGAACGCCUGGAGCUCGAUCAGAACACACGCGCAGGAUAGUGGACACAGGGAAACACAGUUGCAAGGUGGAGAGGGAGACGAUGGGUUUGAGAAGCUGCUUUUGGGGAAAAUGGAGACUGCGAGCUUGCAUUGACCUUGGAGGAGCCAAGUGGAAUGGGUUUGAUUGGUUGCAAUAAAUUACAGCAUUAUAGAAUGACGUUUGUACAAAUGUGUUCCAGCUGUCCUGAUAGGGAUCGAAGAUUGUCGCAUUCCCAAAUCUUCAAGGUCUUGAUGACGGAGGAAGAUUGGCAACGAGAAGCCACUUGUACAUCUUGAUCUGCAACUCCUCAAACAACGAGAAGCCAGCUAAGGAAAAUUCCAAACCAUGUGGGAGCAUGUGGCCUUUGCAAUUUGCAGACCAUCCAUGAGUAUCUCGAGGCCAGGAAAAAAAAAAAGAAUACCGCAAGUAUUAGACAGAGCAGAAUCCAGAAGCUACAUGGUUAAUUAGCAAUAACCUUGAUCAAUGUGGAGCAACCGGCGAUGCAGCAGGAGGUUGUUGCGGGCCAAAGCAAGAUAUAUAGGGGAAGGAGCAGUGCGUGGCUAUCCAACAACCUGAUGAUUCGAGGGGUGUUCCUCACGCACACCUAAACAACAGUAAAAGGGUUCUAACUUUAAAGCAUGCUUGAGACUAUGGCCAAAAGUGAUGCAUGUGUAGAAACCACCAGGAUUAAGAAUUAGAGAUGAGAAGUAACUAGCAAGUUGAAAAUUUAGACUUCAUGAAUUAAUGACGUCAAAGGAGUUUGAGUACAUGUUACCAUGUUAGGCAUGCCUAGAUGCGGAAUUGCGGAUACUGAUACUCGAUGACGAGGACCUCGAGAGUCUACUGUGUGGCAGUGUGGUUACAUACUUACAUUAGCCUUCACUGUAAGACAUAAGAAAACAGUCGAAAUCAAACCUGUUGCUACAAUUUUGUCAGAUCACCAGCAUUUUCAUCUGACUUGGCAAUUUAUGAUGGGAGAACCGUCAGGUGAAGCCUGUCGUUUUCACCUGUAUGGAUGUAUAUCAUUGCGUUUACAAUCGUACUUGGAUGGGUGACUCUACUUCCUUCUGUCCAUACAACAACACUACAGCGUACGCUGAUAUAAUACUCUCAGCCAGCUCACAGUUAAGAGAAGUUCUCACAAUGGGUUCAGUUUAUCUGGUUACUGUUUGAUUUCAUCAUUUCGAGUGCCUUAAAUGGUGCUGCUGCAGUCCAUACUCAUACAUGCAAACAGAAUAUCUUUUUGUGUGACUCACUGAUGAAGUAGUAAGAAAUAGAGACGCAGUUGUACUGUACAAUGGAAACAAAAGCAGAAAAGGAAAAGGGUUUAACUCUUCCCCAGGCAAAAGAAAGAAAACUGCAUCUGCUUCAGAAAAUUCAGUUCGGGCUUAUUCAUCUUAGCUCACCUUGUUAUGUCCUAACUUGCAGUUCCACUCCCCAGUUCUCAGAAUUCAAUGUAUAAUUCUCGUCUGUUGAACAAUGAACAUCAAGACUGAGUAAGGGCUUUGGUCCACAACAGAAAAAUGUGAGGAGACUCCUACCAAUAAAUCAAAGAAGCAACUGUCCACUAUGGAUAUAAACAAGGCAAGGAAAGAAACAAAGACAAACAACUUCAGAUAAAUAAGUGCACGAUAACUUAUUCGUGUAAGUUUUCCAUAAAAAUUUGAAUAACUCAAGUAGACUUGUGACUACAAGUCGUACUGGGGCGCUAAGGCCUCGAGAGCUGAAUAGCUCAUGGUUGCAGCUGACCCACCUUUGCAAGCCGCUUGGUGAGUUGAAUAACUCAAGUAGACUUGUGACUACAAGUCGUACUAGGGCGCUAAGGCCUAGAGAGCUGAAUAGCUCAUGGUUGCAGCUGACCCUCCUUUGCGAGCCGCUUAUGGAGGCGAGGACAAGUAGUCGACUGCUGUUGAAAAGUAAUUGCAUUAGUAAAGGUCGAAACUAGUGGCCUGUGUACAAUGUCUCAUAGUCUAUUGACUAGGGAUAGAAAUGACAGAGAUGCUCGAUGUUCCACGAGUUCUCAACAUUUUCGCCGGAGUGAUGUUGUAGCCUGUAGGAUCCUAGGCCUGUGACCUUAGAUACGAUGAAAGGCCCCUCCCAUGGCGAAUUGAGAUUGUGUAGCCCCUUGGUGUCUUGGAUACACUUGAGGACGCACUUUGUACACAGGCUGAAAGACGCACUUUGUAGGGUUGAGUUUUCACCGAAACGCUCGCAGGCUGGUGAAGUGUGACGACUGACCCCAAAUCUCUCAAGUUAAUCUUAAUCUAAGUCCCUAAUCACGUCUCAGCUUUAUCGAGUUUAAAUACUCAACCUCCAGUCCGGACCCAACCCCUUAGACCCGACCCCUCUCCACUGGCCUCCAGUUCCGACCCCGCCGACCCCAACUCACCCGCCGGAUUCUUCUAAGUCUUUCCCCAACACCUCCCUUCAAUCUGACCGAUGGACCCACGAGAUCUUUUUCCCACAGAUCUUCCACGACAGGCGCACUCGAGUUGCAUGCCCGCUUCAGAGUUCCCCCGUCGCGUGGCUCAACUCCUCCGACACCCGCCGCUCCGCCUCGCCUUCGGCCCGCGACCGGAUAGUUUCUCGCGCCCUUUUCCCCAAUCGCAGCGGAAGCUCCUCUGCUACUCUUUCUGCAGCGCCUCACCGCCCGCGCCCAUCAUCACGUCGCCAGAUCCCGGCUGCAAGGCCCGAGGUCUCCCGUCUUUUCCGUAGCCCUUCCACAGUCGCGCCGCCCAGGUCCGCGCUACGCGACGAUUCCUCCUCCGCCAACCCCGGCCCUGGCCGCGACAACUCCUUUCCUGCCUUGUCAGCGCGGCGCUCUGACGGUCUGUUGCUUCGUGCUCGCCCGCGCGACUGCAGCCCACCUGUCGUCUCAACCGAGCAACCUCGCUCCUAGCGCCGUUCCCCCUAUCACAUCCAUCAUAUUCGUCGCACGACGACGCCCGCCUCCGCCAAAUCUCAACCACCGGCAAACCCGCGCCUGCGCCGCCCUGACGCCAGUACCCAAUGACCGCCAGCGUCAUCCUCGGAGUCCUGCUCCACCACCCUCGUCACUCAAUCGCCGCCCGGGCAGAGCACUCCAUUGCUUCUUCCCCGGCCUUCGCGCCGCUCCCCUUCUCACUCCCGCGCCGCUAUAAAAGGGAAUGCGCAAGCCCCACCGGACUUUUCCCUUUCCCUAGCUGCCAUCUCCCUUGCUCCUCUGCUUCGUGCUCAAAGCGCUACAGCCUAAGUCCCUGAGGAACUCUCCUCUCCGCUCCACACCGCUCUCCCCCAAUCCACCCAGCCGCUUGCUCCUCCGUGCUGCGUAAGAGCUUACUUGUGAUCCACAAGAAGCACCGCCGCCGCCGAAGCACCGCCGGACAUCUCCGCCGCCAGUCUUAGUGUUCCAGUCCCUCCGCCCAAACCUGCUCUUUCCCGACCCCAAGCCUUCCUUGUAAGACGAAGGUAAGCUGCUGAUCCCUUUUCCGCCUCGUCCGACCCUCCUGUUCGUCCGAUCCCUUUUCCGCCUCGUCCGACCCUUCUGUUCGUCCGAUCCCUUUUCCGCCUCGUCCGACCCCUUGUCCGCCUCGUCCGACCCUUCUGUUCAUCCGACCCCUUGUCCGCCUCGUCCGACCCUGUCUGUUCUGCCGAUCCUUGUCCGCUUCGCCCGACCCCUCUUAUCCACCCGACCCCGGUUCCAUCUCGCCCGACUCUGUCUGUUCCGCCGACCCUCCUCCGCCUCGCCCAAGGACUCGGCUGUAUUCUUUUUCUUCAAACCGAGGGUGUAUGUGUAAAACUUGGGGACCCUUCAGCGUUGAGUCUGAGGACCCCUAGCACAGCUAUUCCUCAAGAUUAAGGGUCAGAUCAUAAGUUCCCUUCCUCCGACCCUUACCUCUUGAUCUCCACCCACUCCUUUGAACCUCCCUGCCCUCCUGUAACUUGUCGCAAGUUGCUAGGCUCAGACUUGCAAGUGUUGCUGUUGAUUUAACCGUCUAAAUGCUAACCCAUGCAUUGCAUUCGUGUAGAGCUGCGUCUCGCUGACGGCUACUACGAGCUGCACCCGGCGCCAGAAGACGACGGUGUAGCUGAGCUCCUGCCCUCAGAAGCCGAAGCUGCCCCAGAAGUCGAGCAGUUCCCUUCCUCUUUGCUCGAAGGCAAGCCCCGGAUGCAUGAAUCCCCCUAUGUUUUACCAAACUUGCGCAUGCUUUCUGCAUCUUGCUUGUGCAUUUACGUAUAGGAGUUGUUUGGAACCAUAGAUGUAUAACUUAAACCCCAUGAUCUGAACACUAGCUGUUGGACCGAGUAGCUGCUUUGCUUAAAUAGGAAGCGGUAAAAGUCGAGUGAUUUCCUGUCACUCGCAAGUUGUAGGAGUUGGUUGUUUUCCUCCUGUCACAACUAUAAGGACGAUGGACGGGGCAGGGUUUUGGUUAACUUUUUGGUGGACGGUUGAUUGCCCCGUCUGUCUAUGAAACUUGCUAAGGCCCGACAGUGGUGGUGUUCGUGAUCAAGUGUUUGAAAGUACUAACCUCAUACUUAUUAUGGGAUGAGGAAGCCGAGUACCGGAUUGAACCUAGACGUGAGCGGUCGCCCCAUUGUUCUUGGAACGGAGUUUCCCCUGCUGGUUGUCGCACGUGGUGGUAAGCGUGGUCACAGGAGGGCAGAGGCCAGGUCUGUGGAACCUUGCACCAAAGGAAAUGGGCCCGACACGGGUUAGGGGAUUGAUGGGGAAGGCCGACACAGGAAGCGACCUCAGUGGUGCGCGGAUGUCGUGAGGUUAGGUUCGCCAUGCAUGGUUAAAGAACUUGAAUCGAUUCGUCUGCCUCUCACAGUUUGAGACUGCUUGAUCGCUAUGCUACCCUGAGUAAGAAAGAAAUAUGAUGAUGACAUGGUCUUGAUGAUAUAUAUAUACCUUUUGGUUGGUUCUAUGUUUGUUUAGAGUAAGUUGGUAACUUAGACUGGAUAAUGAACCUAGAACCUGAGCUAAAACUUGAAAAUAGAGAUCUACAUAGUGCUUUUGGCAAACAAACUCCUCAGCCAAAGAGCCUGGCAUAUCUAGAAAGGUGGAGUAGCUUUACUCCUGUCGGUUAAGUCUUGUUGAGCUUAGUAGCUCAGCCUUGUUGUGGCUCUUCUUUUUCAGGUGAAGUUGUUGUUUCUGAGUCUCCUUCUGCUGGCACUUGGCCGCCCCAACUCCCUCCGGGUUGGACGGUUGAGUGGGAUCCCUCCUCGGACGGCGAGGAGCGGGAUCACUGACGUCUUGGCUGGCCUCACCAAGGACGUCCGACCCCCUGCGUUUAGCUUCCGCUUGCUGUUUUACCUUCUGUUGUUUCUUUUGAACCUUGUAAAACUCUGAUGUUGUUUUAUAACCAAACUAAUUGGUUAAGUUGUUUAACUCGGUGGACUUGUUGUAUUCUCUGGAAUCACUCACCUUCGUGUGAGUUUGCUAAUUCGGUCCUGUUCAAGUGGUUAAAUCGGAUGAAAUCCGAUGGCACUUCGUGUUAACUUGGCUAAGGCAUCGGUGUCGCAUGUUAGGCGACUUAACCAUGUCUAAUCAAGCUAAUCCGAAGUGGAUCCGCCACAGCUGGUAUCAGAGCAGGUUUAGCAAGACAGAGAACACAAUAGGCCCUAAAAUACUUCUUUUAAAUAAAAGUUGCAAAGAAAAUUUUUGAAAAUCUCGUACGAUCGUUAAGGAUGACUUUAGUACGAGAGGCCCUAGGGGAUUUUGGGGUUGUUUUAGGUGGCUAAUACUUAUUGGUUAUCUUGCUAACUUCCAGCACUUCGCCACGUGUAUCAUACGUGUGCCGAGUUCCGCAUCACGAGUAUGCGAGGGUUGAUAGGGAGUUCUAUUCAAAGGACCCUAUCAUCGCGGUUGUUUCGCCCGCGUUUAUCAUACGUGCGCAGGUUCCGUAUGUUAAUUCAUACGAAGGGUGGUAUGGUUCGAUUCCAACGAGCCUAUCAUCACGGUUGUUCGCCCACGUCUAUUAUACGUGCGCUGAUUCCCGCAUCACGAGUAUGCGAAGGGUUAUAUGGUUCCAUUCAAAGGGGACAUAUUUCCACGGUUGUUGUGCUGUCCAUGCAGCCUUAAAUGCAUGGGUGACGUUCCUAUAGUGAACGGUAAUGUUUGGGGACGCUUUCGUGGGUGCUGGCACGAAAGGUUCAUGUGGUUGUGUUUUCUGCAGGUACACUAACCACGUUCGCUUAAGAGACGUUACUAGAAUCGACUAGCUAUUAUAAGGAGAGACGUAACUGUUGCCUUGCCACCGGCACUAACUGCGUAAGACCAAAGUUUUGGCAGUUGUUUUGGUUAAGAACGAGGUAGGCCGUGCAUGCGACAUAAGCUAAAAUCUAUAAAGUCACCCUCCUCAGAAGCAACCUUGCUCGGAAAAGGCUCUCCUUCGGUUCUAAGGACUUCUAGUUUUCUUCCAGCUUGUGUUCGGUUAAAAUCCGGAUGCUUUUUCUGUCCGACCCCUUCUCUUCUUAGAGUUCUAUCUCAUGUUGUUUGGUUCUUGGUUCAAGUUGGCCGACCCUGGGUCACGAGGUCGAAUGCGCCCGACCCCUCGAGGCGUUUCUCCGCCUCGACCGACCCUUUUCUUGCGCAGUUUGCUUCGCCGACCCCUUCCUGUGCUGUAUCGUCUAGCCGACCCCUUGGCCUAAGAUUGGAUAUAAUGGAAUUCCUGAAAUCUGGUUAUGGUUCGCCCGAGGUCAUGUGCAGAACUAAGAGAGUUGUUGGCCAAGAUGGCAAGAGGAAGUGUGUGUCUCCUUUAUAAGCUUGUGUGUUUUGCAUUGUCGGCAAGAGUCGCAUUGAGGAUUUAACAUGUGCGUUCCCAUCUGCUUGGAGUACUUCUGAGGUUACGAAAUUAAUGGAACGGCGAUUCUUGCAGAUGGUGCAUCGCACCAGAUCCGGCUCUGUGCCCAGCAGCAGUGAGCAAAGGCAGGAUCUUCCCCCGCCCCCACCUCCAUCUCCGCUGGAGGCGAUCUUAGCGGCUCAAACCGAGCUGUUGAGGCAUCUUGUACAAGGACAACAGCAGCAGCCCCAUGGGGGAAGGGCUCAGCAGCAGCCUCAUGUUGCUCGCUAUGAGGACUUCUUGGGGACGCAGCCCCCUUUGUUCCAGAAGACGCAGGACCCGCUCGACGCAGACGCCUGGGUUCGCGCAAUCGAAUCCAAGUUCGAGCUCCUCACCGCUCCAUGCCCCGACGACAACAAAGCUCGGUUUGCGGCCCAGCAGCUACGUGGUUCCGCCCGGCUCUGGUGGGAUCACUACCACGCCAUGUUGCCGGCCGACCAUGUUGUUAGCUGGAUCGAGUUCAAGACAGCGUUCAGAGGGCAUCACAUUCCGGAAGGUCUCCUGGAGCGUAAACUCAACGAGUUCUUGGCCCUCACCCAAGGAAGCCGUGAUGUCCUGCACUACGCCCAAUCUUUCAAUGAUCUGUGCCGUUAUGCCGGCUAUCAUGCGGACACAGACGAGAAGAAGCGGGACAGAUUCCGCCGAGGUCUAAGUCUGGAGCUCAGAGAAAGGCUGAACCCUAUUAAGGUGGAUACCUACAACGAGUUGGUCAAUCUGGCCAUCUCCCAGGAGGAUUGCAUGCAGGCUCUCAAGGCCGACCAGAAGAGGAAGGCCUCCGUGGCAUUUCCGAGCCAGCCAACUUGGAGAUUCAGGAUGGUUCCUCCACAAGCGCCCAGCCGACCCCAGCAGUCGGGAAGGUGGAUUGCCCGACCCCCGCCAGCAGCAGCACCCCGUUUUCCUGGUUUCCAGCCACAGGCGCCCCGGCCGACCCCACCACCACCACCCCGACCUGCAACCGGUAACUGCUGCUUCACCUGCGGCAAUGAAGGGCAUUUUGCUAGGGACUGCCCCAGGAACAGAAAUCAGCAGCCUGGCCAGAACUCCACGGCGAACAGAGGAAGAAGGCCCAAGGUGCAAAUUCGCCAAGGAUGGCUCAACUACACCAGCUUGACCGAACUCCCCGAAGGUGCGCCAGUGAUGACGGGUACUUUCCUUGUCUUAAAUCAAGCUGUUGUUGUGUUGUUUGAUUCGGGAGCCUCCCAUAGCUUCAUCGGGGGUAAGACUAGAGAAAGAUGUGAGCUGAGUGUCGGUCACACUCAAGGAUCAUAUAUGAUCUCCACUCCGGGAAGGAAGCUAGCCUCAGACCAGAUCGUUACUCUUGUACCUCUCCAGAUAGGCCAAACUCUUUUCAAGGAAAAUCUUAUCAUCCUUGACCUGGAAGGAAUAGAUAUCAUCCUUGGGAUGGAUUGGAUGACUAGACACCAAGUGGUCCUAAAUACAGCCGCCCGAACUCUCUACAUCAACUCACCCUUCCAUGGCAGUUCCACCCUAUCCUUGAAACUUCCUAAGUCCGUACUUCCUUGUGCGUACCCUCUCUCAGAAGCUCGUCUAGAAAGCCUCCCUGUUGUCUGUGAGUACCCUGAUGUGGUCCCAGAGGACUUGCCUGGCAUGCCACCUGAUAGAGACGUGGAGUUUACCAUAGAGUUGAUCCCCGGCACCGCCCCCAUCUCCAAACGGCCCUAUCGGAUGCCACCAGCUGAACUGGCCGAGUUGAAGACCCAGUUGCAUGAUCUAUUGGAAAAAGGUUUCAUCCGACCCAGUGCAUCACCCUGGGGUUGCCCAGCCCUGUUUGUGAAGAAGAAGGACGGGAGUCUACGUAUGUGUGUAGACUACCGACCCCUCAAUGCGGUGACUGUCAAGAACAAGUACCCACUUCCCCGCAUUGAUGUCUUGUUUGAUCAAUUAGCUGGAGCAAGAGUGUUCUCCAAGAUCGAUCUUCGUUCCGGUUAUCACCAAAUCAAGAUCCGACCCUGCGACAUCCCCAAGACUGCCUUCUCCACAAGAUAUGGACUCUACGAGUACUUAGUCAUGUCUUUUGGACUCACAAAUGCACCCGCCUAUUUCAUGUAUCUCAUGAAUUCAGUGUUCAUGCCUGAGUUGGACAAGUUUGUGGUGGUAUUCAUUGAUGAUAUCCUAGUGUACUCGAAGGACGAAGAAGAACAUGCCAAUCAUCUCCAUGUAGUUCUCCAACGGUUGAGAGAUCACCAGCUCUAUGCCAAGUUCUCCAAGUGUGAAUUUUGGUUAGAUAGUGUCAAGUUCUUGGGACACACUAUCUCUCGGAAUGGCAUAGCCGUCGACCCCAGCAAGGUACAGGAAGUCAUGGACUGGAAACCACCCGCCUCAGUGCACCAGAUCCGAAGUUUCCUUGGACUAGCAGGCUACUAUCGGCGUUUCAUACCCGACUUCUCCAAGAUAGCUAAGCCGAUGACAGAGCUGCUGAAGAAAGUGGUCAGAUUUGUGUGGAGCGACAAGUGUGAAGAAGCCUUCAAGACCUUGAAGCACUUGCUAACCACAACCCCGGUUUUGGCCCAACCCGACCCCUCUAGGCCGUAUGACGUAUACUAUGACGCCUCUGGCACUGGACUUGGGUGUGUUCUUAUGCAAGACAACCGAGUCAUUGCCUAUGCCUCAUGGGCGUUACGACCUCAUGAGCUGAACUACCCGACCCAUGAUCUUGAGUUGGCAGCAGUGAUUCAUGCCUUAAAAAUAUGGAGACACUAUCUGAUGGGCACUCACUGCAACAUCUACACCGACCACAAGAGCCUCAAGUACAUCUUCACUCAAACCGACCUCAACAUGCGCCAAAGAAGAUGGUUGGAGAUGAUAAAGGACUAUGAUUUGGAAGUGCACUAUCACCCCGGCAAGGCUAACGUGGUGGCCGAUGCUCUUAGCCGCAAGACCUUUUGCAACUGCCUGUCGGCAACAACCUUCACCGAGACUCUAUGUCAUGAGAUAUGAAAACUCAGUUUGGAAAUUGUUUCCCAUGGAACCCUCGGCCACAUAUCUCUUGAGUCUGUUCUAGAAGACCAAAUUGGUUCAGCCCAGUUAGAGGAUGAGGAAGUAAGGCGGAUCACCAGGAAGAUUUCAUUGAAGGAUGAAGGGUAUAAGCAGUUUCGACAGGACGAAACUGGGAAAGUGUAUUAUGGAAACCGACUGGUUGUACCAGCCGACCCCAACUUGAGGAAGCAGAUCCUAGAUGAAGCUCACCUCUCCAAGUUCUCAAUCCACCCAGGCAGCAAUAAGAUGUACCAUGAUCUCCGUCAAACCUUCUGGUGGAGUGGAAUGAAGUCGAAAAUUGCCCGGUAUGUUUCAGAAUGUGACACCUGCCAACACGUCAAGGCCAGCCAUCUAAAGGUAGCAGGUACCCUGCAGCCCCUACCUAUUCCCUCUUGGAAAUGGGAAGACAUCAGCAUGGACUUCAUAGUUGGACUGCCCCUUACAUCACAGCGACAUGACUCCAUCUAGGUUAUAGUGGACCGCCUGACCAAGUCUGCCCACUUCCUUCCUGUCCACACCACUCACAUGGCCAAGAAGUAUGCGGAGUUGUAUCUUGACCGCAUUAUUUCCCUACACGGUGUGCCUAGGACGAUCAUUUCUGAUCGAGGAGUUCAGUUCAUAGCACGCUUUUGGGAACAGCUACAAGCAUCAAUGGGCACCAAGCUCAUCCGAAGCUCAACCUAUCAUCCUCCAACCGAUGGUCAAACGGAAAGAGUCAAUCAAAUCCUUGAAGACAUGUUGAGAGCUUGUGUCAUCCAUUAUGACAAAAAUCGGGACAAGUGCUUGCCCUUGGCGGAGUUCUCCUACAACAACAGCUACCAGGCCAGUUUGAAGAUGGCACCGUUUGAAGCCUUAUAUGGCCGCAGAUGUCGGACACCUUUGAAUUGGUCACAAACUGGAGAAAGACAGAUCUAUGGCCCUGACUUAGUGGUAGAAGCCGAAGAGCAAGUAAGGGUAAUUCAAGCAAAUCUCAAGGUUGCCCAAUCUCGACAGAAGAGUUACUCCGACAGAAGAAGAAGACCCCUGCAGUUUGACAUUGGUGAUCGUGUAUAUCUUCGAAUCUCCCUGACCAAAGGAGUGCAACGGUUUGGAAUGAAAGGUAAAUUGGCUCCCCGUUACAUUGGCCCGUAUGAAGUUGUGGAGAUUUGUGGACCCGUGGCCUAUCGGAUCCAACUCCCAGAACAGCUCUCGGGCAUACAUGAUGUUUUCCAUGUAUCUCAACUGAAGAAAUGUGUCCAAGUCCCAACCGAGAUCUUAGAGCAAGAGCAGCUUCAGAUCGAGCCCGACCUAACCUACGCCGAGUACCCAGACAGAGUUCUUGACCAGAAAGAGAGACAUACCCGGCGCCAAGUGGUUAAAAUGUACAAGAUCUUAUGGAGCAACCACACAGAGGAUGAAGCAACAUGGGAAACAGAAGAAUAUUUGAACAAGCACUUCCUAGGUUUUCUGUCUCAUCAAGGAGGUAAGGACUGUGCACCUUACUCUUACACCUGAAUCUCGGGACGAGAUUCUUUUUAAGGGGGGUAGGCUCUGAUGACUAACCCCAAAUCUCUCGAGUUAAUCUUAAUCUAAGUCCCUAAUCACGUCUCAGCUUUAUCGAGUUUAAAUACUCAACCUCCAGUCCGGACCCGACCCCUUAGACCCGACCCCUCUCCACUGGCCUCCAGUUCCGACCCCGCCAACCCCAACUCACCCGCCAGAUUCUUCUAAGUCUUUCCCCAACACCUCCCUUCAAUCUGACCGAUGGACCCACGAGAUCUUUUUCCCACAGAUCUUCCACGACAGGCGCACUCGAGUUGCAUGCCCGCUUCAGAGUUCCCCCGCCGCGUGGCUCAACUCCUCCGACACCCGCCGCUCCGCCUCGCCUUCGGCCCGCGACCGGAUAGUUUCUCGCGCCCUUUUCCCCAAUCGCAGUGGAAGCUCCUCUGCUACUCUUUCUGCAGCGCCUCGCAGCCCGCGCCCAUCAUCAUGUCGCCAGAUCCCGGCUGCAAGGCCCGAGGUCUCCCGUCUUUUCCGUAGCCCUUCCACAGUCGCGCCGCCCAGGUCCGCGCUACGCGAUGAUUCCUCCUCCGCCAACCCCGGCCCUGGCCGCGACAACUCCUUUCCUGCCUUGUCAGCGCGGCGCUCUGACGGUCUGUUGCUUCGCGCUCGCCCGCGCGACUGCAGCCCACCUGUCGUCUCAACUGAGCAACCUCGCUCCUAGCGCCGUUCCCCCUGUCACAUCCAUCAUAUCCGUCGCACGACGACGCCCGCCUCCGCCAAAUCUCAACCACCGGCAAACCCGCGCCUGCGCCGCCCUGACGCCAGUACCCAAUGACCGCCAGCGUCAUCCCCGGAGUCCUGCUCCACCACCCUCGUCGCUCAAUCGCCGCCCGGGCAGAGCACUCCAUUGCUUCUUCCCCGGCCUUCGCGCCGCUCCCCUUCUCACUCCCGCGCCGCUAUAAAAGGGAAUGCGCAAGCCCCACCGGACUUUUCCCUUGCCCUAGCUGCCAUCUCCCUUGCUCCUCUGCUUCGUGCUCAAAGCGCUACAGCCUAAGUCCCUGAGGAACUCUCCUCUCCGCUCCACACCGCUCUCCCCCAAUCCACCCAGCCGCUUGCUCCUCCGUGCUGCGUAAGAGCUUACUUGUGAUCCACAGGAAGCACCGCCGCCGCCGGAGCACCGUCGGACAUCUCCGCCGCCAGUCUUAGUGUUCCAGUCCCUCCGCCCAAUCCUGCUCUUUCCCGACCCCAAGCCUUCCUUGUAAGACGAAGGUAAGCUGCUGAUCCCUUUUCCGCCUCGUCCGACCCUCCUGUUCGUCCGAUCCCUUUUCCACCUCGUCCAACCCUUCUGUUCGUCCGAUCCCUUUUCCGCCUCGUCCGACCCCUUGUCCGCCUCGUCCGACCCUUCUGUUCGUCCGACCCCUUGUCCGCCUCGUCCGACCCUGUCUAUUCUGCCGACCCUUGUCCGCUUCGCCUGACCCCUCUUAUCCACCCGACCCCGGUUCCAUCUCGCCCGACUCUGUCUGUUCCGCCGACCCUCCUCCGCCUCGCCCGAGGACUCGGCUGUAUUCUUUUUCUUCAAACCGAGGGUGUAUGUGUAAAACUUGGGGACCCUUCAGCGUUGAGUCUGAGGACCCCUAGCACAGCUAUUCCUCUAGAUUAAGGGUCAGAUCAUAAGUUCCCUUCCUCCGACCCUUACCUCUUGAUCUCCACCCACUCCUUUGAACCUCCCCGCCCUCCUGUAACUUGUCGCAAGUUGCUAGGCUCAGACUUGCAAGUGUUGCUGUUGAUUUAACCGUCUAAAUGCUAACCCAUGCAUUGCAUUCGUGUAGAGCUGCGUCUCGCCGACGGCUACUACGAGCUGCACCCGGUGCCAGAAGACGACGGUGUAGCUGAGCUCCUGCCCCCAGAAGCCGAAGCUGCCCCAGAAGUCGAGCAGUUCCCUUCCUCUUUGCUCGAAGGCAAGCCCCGGAUGCAUGAAUCCCCCUAUGUUUUACCAAACUUGCGCAUGCUUUCUGCAUCUUGCUUGUGCAUUUACGUAUAGGAGUUGUUUGGAACCAUAGAUGUAUAACUUAGACCCCAUGAUCUGAACACUAGCUGUUGGACCGAGUAGCUGCUUUGCUUAAAUAGGAAGUGGUAAAAGUCGAGUGAUUUCCUGUCACUCGCGAGUUGUAGGAGUUGGUUGUUUUCCUCCUGUCACAACUAUAAGGACGAUGGACGGGGCAGGGUUUUGGUUAACUUUUUGGUGGACGGUUGAUUGCCCCGUCUGUCUAUGAAUUUUGCUAAGGCCCGACAGUGGUGGUGUUCGUGAUCAAGUGUUUGAAAGUACUAACCUCAUACUUAUUAUGGGAUGAGGAAGCCGAGUACCGGAUUGAACCUAGACGUGAGCGGUCGCCCCAUUGUUCUUGGAACGGAGUUUCCCCUGCUGGUUGUCGCACGUGGUGGUAAGCGUGGUCACAGGACAGCAGAGGCCGGGUCUGUGGAACCUUGCACCAAAGGAAAUGGGCCCGACACGGGUUAGGGGAUUGAUGGGGAAGGCCGACACAGGAAGCGACCUCAGUGGUGCGCGGAUAUCGUGAGGUUAGGUUCGCCAUGCAUGGUUAAAGAACUCGAAUCGAUUCGUCUGACUCUCACAGUUUGAGACUGCUUGAUCGCUAUGCUACCCUGAGUAAGAAAGAAAUAUGAUGAUGACAUGGUCUUGAUGAUAUAUAUAUAUACCUUUUGGUUGGUUCUAUGUUUGUUUAGAGUAAGUUGCUAACUUAGACCGGAUAAUGAACCUAGAACCUGAGCUAAAACUUGAAAAUAGGGAUCUACAUAGUGCUUUUGGCAAACAAAACCCUCAGCCAAAGAGCCUGGCAUGUCUAGAAAGGUGGAGUAGCUUUACUCCUGUCGGUUAAGUCUUGUUGAGCUUAGUAGCUCAGCCUUGUUGUGGCUCUUCUUUUUCAGGUGAAGUUGCUGUUUCUGAGUCUCCUUCUGCUGGCACUUGGCCGCCCCAACUCCCUCCAGGUUGGACGGUUGAGUGGGAUCCCUCCUCUGACGGCGAGGAGCGGGAUCACUGACGUCUUGGCUGGCCUCACCAAGGACGUCCGACCCCCUGCGUUUAGCUUCCGCUUGCUGUUUUACCUUCUGUUGUUUCUGUUGAACCUUGUAAAACUCUGAUGUUGUUUUAUAACCAAAAUAAUUGGUUAAGUUGUUUAACUCGGUGGACUUGUUGUAUUCUCUGGAAUCACUCACCUUCGUGUGAGUUUGCUAAUUCGGUCCUGUUCAAGUGGUUAAAUCGGAUGAAAUCCGACGGCACUUCGUGUUAACUUGGCUAAGGCAUCGGUGUCGCAUGUUAGACGACUUAACCAUGUCUAAUCAAGCUAAUCCGAAGUGGAUCCGCCACAUGAAGGUCUCUUCCAAGUUUGUGAUGAGAUCAUUUGGAUUUCUGGUUUUGACUACCACGUCAUCCACGUACGCUUCCACGUUGCGGUGGAGUUGUUUCUCAAAGCACAUCUGGGUGGUGCGUUGAUACAUUUCUCCUGCGUUCUUCAACCCGAAGGACAUUGUUUUGUAGCAGAAAGCUUCAAAAGGGGUGAUAAACGCAGUUUUGGCUUGGUCUUCUUCCUUGAGGGCUAUCUGGUGGUACCCCGAGUAGCAGUCCAGGAAGCAGAGUAAUGCGCAUCCAGCUGUAGAAUCGACAACUUGAUCAAUCCUUGGAAGCCCGAAGGGGUCCUUAGGAUAGUGCUUGUUGAGGUCUAUGUAGUCCACACACAUUUUCCAUUCAUUGUUAUUCUUCUUGUGGACUAGGACUGGGUUGGCGAGCCACUCAGGAUGGAAAACUUCUUUUAUGAAGCCUGCCGCGAGUAGUUUUGCUAGCUCUUUCUUGAUGGCUUCUCGUCUGUUCUAGGCAAAUCUGCGUAGUUGCUAUCUCUUUGGAGUAGCAUUAGGAUCUACGUUGAGUGAGUGCUCGAUCAACUCCUUUGGCACACCUAGCAUAUCUGCCGGUUUCCAUGCGAAAAUGUCUCGGUUUGCCCGAAGAAAGCUGACAAGCGCGCUUUCCUAUUUGGCAUCAUGCUCUAUGCCAAUCAGGGCUGUCUUGGAGGAGUUGCCGGUCUCAAGGUCGAUGGCUUUGAACUCCAUGUCACCUGCCAGCUUGACCUUAGUAGUCCCCGACUUGUUCUCCGCGAUUUCAAGUUCCAUCAGGGAGAGCUUCUUUGAAGCAAUGAAGACUUGUUACAUCGAGCUGGGUACUUGAGUAGUCACCGCCAACUCAACAGCUUCUGUGUCACAUUCGUAUGACCUUCGCAAGUCUCCACGGAGGAAGAGUACUCCCUUGGGUCCUAGCAUUUUCAGGAGCAGGUAAACAUAGUGUGGGAUUUCCAUGAAUUUAGCUAGUGCUGGUCUUUCGAGGAUAGCAUGAUAAGAAGUUUCAAAGUCCGCCACUUUGAACCGAAUGUAUUCUAUCCGGUAGUGUUCUUUAGUUCCGAAGAUAACCGGUAGACUACUUGUCCAAGUGGUAUAGCUGCGUUGCCUAGGACGAUCCCAUAGAAUGGAGAGUUCUUUGGGGUGAGCAUGUUAGUAAUGUCGAGGCCCAUCUUCCUUAGGGUUGUGGCGAAAAUGACAUUGAGGCCACUGCUGCCAUCGAUGAGUACUUUGGUGAGUCUUGAGCCAGCGACAACUGGGUCCAGGAUGAGGGGGAACCGUCCUGGUUCUGAGAAACUUGUCCAUUGAUCUUUCCUAGAGAAGUUAAUCUACACCUCGGACCACUUGAGGGGCGUAGGGGUAGCGGGCUCAAUGGACAUGAUCUCUUUGAGUACUAGUUUCUAGGAUCGCUUAGAGGAAGUGCUUGGGAUCCCGCCAAAGAUGACGUUGACGGUCUUGGAUGGGGUCUGGAACUUAUUUUCGCCAUCUUUGCCUUCGUCUACCUUAGCUUUUCCCUUGACAUUGUUAUUGUUCGGGGGUUCUGGCAAAUCUUUCAUUACCCUGCAUAGACGGUAGCAAUCUAUCGCGGCGUGCUUGCUGUGCGGAUGCUACGGGCAUUGCUUCUUCAGCAGCUUGCUGAAUGCGGGUCUAUCUUCAUUUCUGUUAGACCCUUUGUUACUUGAGUUCGUCAUUGCUGUGAUGGUAUUAUCAGGCUUGCACUUGCGGUUUUGGUUGCCCGAGUAGUUAUUUCAGUGGUCGCCGUUGCGGUUUCUGUCUUGCUUUUAGUUAUUGCCGUGAUUAUUGUUGUUGUCACGACCGCGAUUGUGAUUUGAGUCAAACCUCUCGCGUUCUUUAUCCUCCUCAUCUACCCAUGACUGGGCCAUUAUCUUGAGUGCCUUGACAUCCGCGGGACGAUGCCUACUGAAGUCUUGGUACAUGCGGUGAUCAUAGAGGCCGUUCUAGAAGGAUGCUAUCAUGUCUAGUUCUGAGAUGUCCACAAUUGUGGCCUUUUUGUCAAAGAAAUGAUGUAGAUAGCUGCAUAGUGACUCAUCUCGUUGCUGCUUGACUUGUGGCAAGUCGAUCCUGUUAUCGGGGCGUUGCAUUGCCCCUGCGUAGUUGCUAGUGAAAGCUCAUUUCAAGUCUUGCCAGGAGUUGAUGGAAUUGGGCUUCAAGCAUUCGAGCCAGGUCAGUGGCGUAGUUUCCAUGCUUACAGAAAAGUUGUCGUUGUCAAGAUUUGCGGAUCAAGACUUAGACUAGUAAAUUUCUUUUAUGCGCGUAAGGCUUCGGAUGGUGGCGUGGGAGACACGGGGUUAGACUGGUUCGGGCAAAGGAACGCCCUACGUCCAGUAUCGGGAGCUGCUCGUGUUAUCCACGCGGGGUUCUGUAGUAGGGGUUACAGGAGUGCGAGAGAGGGAUCUGAUCCCAGGUCUCUUGGGAGUGCACUGAUGCUCUAAGUGGGUGUGAGUGUGUUCUCUCUUCUCCCCCCGAGUCCCCUAUCUCAGGACCCCCGGUCCUCCUUUUAUAGCGCAAGGGGGAGCUCGGGGUUACAGUUGAGCCAGGCGUGAGGAGAAGUAAAAAAGAUAAGCUAAGUAAAAUGCAACAUAAGGGGAGGGACCCGAGGCCGCCGUCCCUCGCUCCGGCCUCCGGCCCCUGUCAGCGCGUUCGUCGAGGGAGGGCGGCUUCCUCCAGAUCCUGCUAUCGAGCACGAUGAUGAUGUUCAGCCUUGGCAUCUAUGCCCGCCGGGGGAUGGUCGAUUCUGUUAUCCCGCUGAUCACCCGGGAGACACGGACGUCGCAUCCCUGUCAUCGGGAGCACGGGGUGCGAGAACGAGCAGGACGCCUUCCUAUGCCGGCCGGCGCGGGCCAUGAGUACCCUGCAGCGAAUCAGAGGGAGCCACGGUCACUGCAGCUUGCGCCGCACGGUCGCGCAUGGGUAUUCGUGACAGGUUGCGUUGGGGGCGCCACCCCCUUUCUGCAUGCCAGGGCCGCGGUGCAUUUAUGGUGAGGUCGAUAGGGGGACCCACGAGAUCAGCACCCUGAUCCUCCAAUCUGCGCCCGAGGCGGAUAUCUGUCCUGAGGACCCGAACGAGUCUGACCCCCGCACCCAGGGUCGGGCAAGGCGGAGUUUUGCGGCGGAGGUCGGGCACUCCCAACCCCGGUCCCCUGGGUCGGGCGAGGUGGAGUUUUGUCUUCAAGGGGUCGGGAAUGUCCGACCCCGUGACGUCGGGUCGAGCGAGACAGAACGUGGCCUCUCCCUCCCAUAUUGGGCCGACGGCAAUCUCGCUACCGUAGGUGGGCCUGGACCUUUAUUUUUUGUUUUUUCCAUGGGCUUGGAGAGAUCGCUAAUAUUUCUCCCCAACAAAAGUAGAUGACCUUUGUGUCGUCAGCCCCCGCUACAGCCUGGACCGCCAGUGAGUAGCAGCAGAGCCACUGAACUGGAUCUUGUUUGCCAUCGUACUUGAAGAUACCCAAAGGUUUGAAUUUCUCUGGUAAGAUUGUGUUCCUAACCCAUCUUGUAAAGGUGGGAAAGUGAUCAUUGUCAUCACCCCUGUAGUCUUCUUCAAGUUCAUGCUCCCGAUGGCGGUUGUUGAUGAUGUUGCGUGCAUCACGGUUGCUGUUGAUUUUAUUCCUGAGAUCACCAUCGAUGAGUGAGGGUACGGGGUCAGCUCUAUGGUGGCGAGCGCCUCCCCUAGAAGCUGUUCGACUACCCUCAGGCGCACUCUGUGUUGUCUUGGGCUUUCGAGUACAUCUCUAUUUUGCCUCGGAGCCCCAAUUGCGCCCCCGUGUUGUUUGGCGUUUUCGCGUGGUCGAGCUGAAGGUCCUGCGUGGUCUCUGCUGCUGCCAUACUGACUACGCCCAGAUGGGGUGUGAGGUACUGAUGGGAUUGGAGUCGCUCUGUCGAGUAGUUCAUAGGCGUGUUCUGCCAACUGUGCUAUCAGAGUAUUGUACUUGUCUUGAGGCAUAGCACGAGUGAUGAGGUCGAUGGAGGCAAUAGUGGCGAGUGGCGUAUUAUGUUGUCGUGUUUGCACUACUUCGAGUGCUCUAUCAAGGUUCAUAAUUGGGAGCUGGGCAGCUAGCUGAAGAUGUCGUUCUGCUCUCUGCGCAUUUCUUGCCCUCCGCCGAGUCCUUUGGCUUUCAGUUUCUUCAACGACGUUGGUAGAUAAUUCAUAUUGUGAGACAUCAUCUAGGUGAUGCUCUCGUCGGGGGGGUUCUUGGGUGAUGUUUUUCACCUUCUUCCCCGUUUGUGAUUAAAGCGAAGAGUUCUCUUCCUGGAGUAUAGCUGCCAGAGCUUGAGGUGAUGACUUCUGUGGAGCCAUCUUCUUCAUAGAUUGGUGACAAGGGUGUUCCUUCUUGGCAUGGUAGGAUCUCAAGAUUGGCGAUCAUCCGUGACUCAUCACUCUGGUCAAGGAAGGACGGCUUCAUGCCUGACCAGUAAACGAAUCUGCCUUGGGGUGUUGAAGUAAUCACCAGGCCCUACUGCAAACCUAAUAAAGGAAUUUCUUCGAUGGAAUCCGAGUAGAAGUCGAGGUUGUGGUCCUCAAUCACCUCCAAUCUGGAUUGUGGCUUGGAUAAAGCUACUUUAUAAACCAGAGCUGCGUUUCGGAGUCCAAACGGGAAUUGACUUGGAGUUUGAUUUGAUUCGCACGAUGGCUUGUUUGCUUGCUCGUGGGAGCCCGUCCAAGUUGUUAAAGAGUCCAAGUUGUACUCGAGCUUGCUAUUUGUCAGAUUGAAAAUUUUACUGAAUUUCUCGACGAAAUCAUACGUAGCUUGUCGACGAAGGGUGACGUUGAGUUGCUUCUUCUCCGUGGCCUCUGCGAUGUAGCGGUGGGAACCUCCAACGCCAUUGGCGAUGCAGACCCAGGAGUCGAAGACGAACAUCGCGCCGGCUUCGAACGCAAUCAUAGGCUUGAUGAUGAUUUGAGCUAUCGAACUCGCCUGGAGAAUUUUGGCGAUUUCCCUUACCUGGCACGCCAGCUGUCGGUAUUUUAUACCCGGCAACCUACCAAGAGAGUACCCGAGGUAUAGUUUUGGUUGGUGGGUGUCGCCAAAAUCAGGAGCUCGAUGGUGUACGUAGGCACGCAAUUUAGAUAGGUUCGGGCUGCUAGAUCGUGUAAUACCCUAUGUCCUGUGUGUUGUUCACUUGUAUUGGUUCGAACUUGUUUUUGGGGGGGGUCCCUGCCUGCCCUUAUAUACCGGGGGAGCAGGGUUACAUGGUAGUUGUUUUAUAGGAGUACUAGUCGGAUAUGACUACAGAGUUCUAGUCUAACUCAGAAGAGUAGUUUCUUUAUCUAUGACUAGUCUCCUGGUAGUCCAUGUAGACUACACCACACUGUAUCGUAGUCUCCAUGUUCUGGUGCGUCUCGGUGUCAAACCUCUUGCUACAAUUUUGUCACGUCACCAGCAUUUUCAUCUGACUUGGCAAUUUAUGAUGAGAGAACCGUCAGAUGAAGCCUGUCGUUUUCACCUGUGUGGAUGUAUGUCAUUGCGUUUACAAUCAUACUUGGAUGGGUGACUCUACUUCCUUCUGUCCAUGCAACAACACUACAGCGUACGCUGAUAUAAUACUCUCAACCAGCUCACAGUUAAGAGUAAGUUUUCACAAUGGGUUCAGUUUAUCUGGUUACUAUUUGAUUUCAUCUGUACAAGUGCCUUAAAUGGUGCUGCUGCAGUCCAUACUCAUACAUGCACACAGAAUAUCUUUUUGUGUGACUCACUGAUGAAGUAGUAAGAAAUAGAGACAGCAGUUGUACUGUACAAUGGAAACAAAAGCAGAAAAGGAAAAGGGUCUAACUCUUCUCCAGGCAAAAGAAAGAAAACUACAUCUACUCCAGAAAAUUUAGUUCGGGCUUAUUCAUCUUAGCUCACCUUGUUAUGUCCCAACUUGCAGUUGCACUCCCCAGUUCUCAGAAUUCAAUGUAUAAUUCUCGUCUGUUGAACAAUGAACAUCAAGAGUGAGCAAGGGCUUUGGUCCACAACAGAAAAAUGUGAGGAGACUCCUACCAAUAAAUCGAAGAAGCGACUGUCCACUAUGGAUAUAAUCAAGGCAAGGAAAGAAACAAAGACAAAGAACUUCAGAUAAAUAAGUGCGCAAUAACUUAUUCGUGUAAGUUUUCCAUAAAAAUUAAAAAGAAUGCAUCCUGUUAGAAGGCAAGCUAUAUGCUUGAGCGAUUCCACACCCUGAAUUAAAGAAAAAUGUGUUUGAACUGAAGUGGGGAUUCCAAUAAAUGCAUUUGUUUCUCUGUGAGUAGGAUUAUCACGAACUAAUCAAAUUGUAUUAAAAAAAUGGACUUGUCUUAGUAAACCUCGUAGGCGCUCAAUUACUUGAUCAAUGUCCUGUUUAGUGCAGACCAUACCAAAGAAAUGAUGCCAAUAAGGCACCGAGAUGAUUGAACCAUAGCCUAUCAAAGCUCGGGUACAAGCUCGGGCACAAUUUCUCCCGGAGUUACUUGUCAAUUUCUGGGCAAUUAAGCAGGCUUCGUGGCUACCAACAAUCGAAGGUCCUAUUUUCAAUGAGCUACGGGCCCUAUUUUUUUACAUAUAUUUCUAAUUUUUAUGUCUAUCAAAAGUUCUAGUCCCGUGUGGAAGAAUCUAUCCGUUACGUCUACAUGCUGACACGCCUUAAGUUAGUAUUUUUUAUUAACAAUAACAUAAAUAGGUAAUUAGAAUCACAUAUUAGGUUUUUUUGACGUUUCUAAUGAACUUGCAGAUAAUUAGAUUAAGAUUUAGGUGUUUAAUUUAGGCUCCCUCCAUUCUCUUUUAAUAGAGAUAUUUCUAAAAAUUAGAUUUUGAUAGUCCUAUCUGCCAUUGACGUGGACCGUGUCAAUAAAUUGCAUAGAUAACGAGAAGUCAUUAAGACAAAUAUUGGAGGGCUAAUGUGGCCGUCCGACUUAAAUUCGGAACAGUAAUUAUUCAUACGCACCUAAAAUAGUUUAACCGGUAGUCCGUCUAGUUUCCCCGGGACAACCGAAAUCAUCCACAUAUAACUUGAAUCUUAGCCAUACAUUAGGAUCGCUUCCACGAAAGGAAAGCAUCAAUAAACAUUACCUUUUUACAUAAUUACUGAGGGUAUGAAUUAUUACAAACCAUAGGUUGACAAUCAGUUAAACUAAUCUAAGAGCUUCAAACUAAAACAAGCCUGGGAAGUAAGUAGUUAAACAACUAAUUCCAACACUAGGGCAUUAUAAGACUCGUAAAAGAUCCUAGUUCUUCGGACCUUCCUCUUCACCAGCCUGCUGUUGCAUGACUGAAAACAACAAAAGAGGAUUCCCUGAGUAUGAAUGUACUCAGCAAGACUUACCCGUCUAACCAAUAUAGAUAAACAAUAAAGUUUCAAGAAGUAUGAUAGCCUUUUAGUGUACUAGCUGACUCAACAUUUCUGCGAAAAGCUUGCUACCGGUGGAACCUUAAUUUUGUUAUUUUAACCACAAUUAGUUCUUAUCCAGGUGAAUAAAAUAUUUUGUUCAAUCAAGUGGAACUAAACAUCAUACAUCAAUAUUAAUUCAAGGAAAACAUCAUAUUGAACUUAUUUACUCUACGAUGUUUAAGCGAUGAUCGAGUGCAUUCAUAACCAAGAAGUGUGACGAUCUGGACCGAUUUACAUUCUGCAGGAGAUACCUAAUCACCAGCCAUGCACAACUGCGUGGGUUGCACAUAACGACCUUUCAAUUAACCGUACCCAAAUAUUGUGAACAUAAUUAUCCGAACCCUAGGAUGCACCCACGCAUGGGACCCCACGUCUGGCCUGAUCUCCAUGUGAGUUUCAGGCUACGCCCCUGCCUUUCUUCCGCACGCCAAGCAUGGGUGAGGAUAUUUCCAAUCAAAUAGCCAACUAACCACCUGCUUUCUUCCGCAUGCCUAGCAUGGGUAAGGAUAUUUCCAAUCAAAUAGCCAACUAACCUACCGGGCUUACUGGUUCCCAAUGGCAGUAAGCAACCAGGUAAUAUCACUUGAUCAAAAGUUAAGACAAUGAACAAGCCUUAAUCCAUUAAUCCUAGUGGAUAGAACUACCAUCUCUAGCUUAUGUCCACAUCUUUAAAAUUCAAAGUCAUUUCCUUGAUCAAGAUGUAUGAUAAUAUUAACCUUAAGUGGUUGAGCAACAAAGUUACUCAAAAGUGAAUCUAAGCAUUACUAAGCAUAGGAUGGUUACUAAUUAUUGAAUAGGUGGCAAAGUUAUCCUACAAACAAGGUUGGAUUAUGCAUAAGAGUAAGGUUUCAAUCAACUCCUAGACUUAAUGCAUAAAUAAGGAAAUAACCAAUAAUUUGGACACAUGAAUAGCAAUUUCUGAAAUUAGAUAGGUGCAGAUGCUCCAGGGCUUGCCUUGGUUAAAAAAAGUAAGUUCCUUUGGGAGAUCCUUCACCACAAGGAAGGACCUCAAUAACCUCCUCGAAUUCUUGAGGUUCUUCAGAGAAAAUCCAAGAAAUCCACUUCAGGAGCUUAGGUUCUACGAUAUAAUGCCUACUAAAGUUAGAAUAUGCAAAACUUUUUGAAACAAAGACUACACAACUUAUCUUCAUCAUAAAGUUGCAAGUCAACACCAAUCUACCCAUAAAAGACUAACCCUCAAUUUAUUUCUUACUAAACUAAUCUUAAUUAUUUUAAUUUAUUAUAAAAGGGGUUAUUAAAUAAUUACUGAUCUCAAAACCUAAUUCCUAAUUGUUAUUGAUUUCUAAUUAAUAAAUCAUUAUUCAGAAUUUUAUACAUUUUAUAAAUAUUAAGUAUUUAUCUAAUACCUUAAAUAUAAGGUACUAAAUAAACACCUAAUUUUUAUUACUUUUCCUAAGGUUUAAGAAUUUUAGUGCAUAAAUAAAAAUAAAAUAAACCUAACAAAAUUGGUUUCACUAUUUUUGGAAAUUUCUAUAAAUUCUGGUGAAUUAAAUAAGAAACUGGACUUAAUCUAAUAUCUAAAACACCCUAAACUCAUUUUCCAACAAAACCCCUUGGAAAACCCUAUUUUCACUCGGUCUCUACCUAGCCGCUGCAACAGACACGCGGGCCCGGUCAACAAACGCCACCUCCGGUCUUGACCACGGGUGCCCGAGCGGGUAACGGCGCUAGCUCGCUGCCGGUGGCCUCGUCGGCGACGAGGGCUAGCUGGCUAGCUUCCCUAGGUCACUGCGCAUCCACGGGUGGUGUUGUUGGGGUGGUUAAGCUAGCGGCGGCGAAGAACGGCAGUGACCGGCGGCGGAGCAGGCGGCGCUAGGGUUAGCGGCGGCGACGGCAACGACUCCCCGGCAACAAGCGACACGUACGGCUCGUGCGUGACACAACUAGACCCUCAGGGGACGCUUACAGCUAGGGCAAGGUGGUGCUCACCGGUGGCGGCUUGGCAAAACAGAGACGGCGGACUGACGUGACGAGGAUGGCGUCCAGGACGGCCUUGCCGGUGUUGGAGGUCUCGGUGGACUGCGGAGUGGAUUUGGAGCUGUGGUGCGAAGGAAUCGGCUGACGGUGGAUCUCAGCUCACGGAUUUCAUGGGCGGCUUGAGUUCUGCUCUGUUCUUGCACAGGCAAAAGGAAGCAAGGCAAAGCUGCGACUCUGCUCAAAACUUGUGCCAGGGUAUAGACGACGGUGCCAACAGUGUGCCUGAGCUAUUCGUGCUGGGGCUGCUUACGAGGCGGUGGCGAGGCCAUGGACAGCAAGAAAUGCAGGGAUGCAGUGAAGCUCACGCACAUGGCCAGAGCGCCGUGCUUGACAAAGGCAGACGCGCGAGCGAAAGAGAGGGAUUGGCCAGCGGCACAGAGCAACGACGAGCUGGGGAACCUGAUGAGCUGCUGUCGGCGAGCUAUGCUCAAAGAUGCACCGAGGAACAAAGAAAAAUAAGGCCAGCAGUCUUAGGCAUAUAUAGGCGAGCGCGACGUCGGUGACCGGUGCCAGCAGCUGCUUGCAACGUGUUGUGCUGGAGCAUUCUCUGGUUGCGUGGCAAAGCAAGGAGAGGCGGCGGGGCAACGGCGGUCAAACGAACACUGCUCGGCGUUCAAGUUAAGCGACAGCGGAGGCACGUCGGUGACCAAGUAGACAAGCUGCUGAUGCUGCCGGGCUGCAGACUUCAAAUGUGCAUAGAAAACCAGCCCCUUCUUUGAUUAAAUUCGUCCAAACCAAACCCAACUUGUCAUGAACCUAUAACCAACGUUGGAGCUGGCAUAAACAGCUACAAGUGAUAGAUAGCACUUUUGUUCCAAUGAUCAAAGGAUUUGGAGAUACAAAUUUCUGAACUUCAGUGCAAAUCAAUAGCUCUUACUGUACUUUCAGGAUACUCUGUCAGUUAUAUAGACCAUGCUGAAACUGUGUACGGUUUAAUCUUUGGCCUCCAAAUUAAAUAUCCAAACUCAGCUUUGUUCGUCCAAUGACUACUGAAACUUGUUGACCUCAUUUUAGAGAUUCCAUUUUUCAUGAUCUUGUCCAGUCUCUACAUAUAGAAAUCUUUAAAAAAUUGAUCCAAAGUGGGCCACUGAGCACUGAUUUCAGAGCUAAUGGCAAUUGCCAUUCAGUUUCGACAGAGAGCUCCACCAGUGUGAACUUUCAAAAUUUGAGCCUCAUUUUAAAAUUGAAAUCUCUCUUUUCCUUAUCCAACAACAUGUCCAAAAUAUUCACUAAUCAUCCAAGUAUACUUAUGGUCCAAAACAUCCCACAGCUUACAUGAAAAAUUCUUCAGAAACCAAUUUCAAAGUUGGCUACUUGCCACUGUUUUAGACUUGGAGAAAUUUUCAGGUUUUGAAUAGUGAUCCAAGUCAACAACUUUGACUACGCAUUUGAGAUGCCAAUGACUUGAAUUUGAUCCCAAACUUGAUCCCACUGAGUUCAAAACACUACCAACUUAUGAUUCCAGGUUUGACUCAAAUUUUUCCAAAUUUGAAUCUUUAAUUUGAAUUUUUGGUCAAAUUUGUCUCAAAUUCGAACUUAGCUCAUAAUACUUCUUUUUAACCCAAAUUUCAUCAUCAACCUCUUAAUAACCUUCUUAGGCUUUUAAUAACAUUGGGUGUUACAGCUAGCUAAUGAGAAAAAUACUAGUUUGCAUUUAUUAGAUGAUAAGUAGGGUUGUUUUCCUUGGUCAUUGUGUCAAGGUGAAAUAUCCCUAUCAAAAGAGAAUAGAGGGAGUACAUCAGUAAUUAAGAUACAAUUGACCAAUGGCUAUAAUUAUUAGAGUCUAUAUGAUUGACGCUGGGAUGUUUCUGAUUUUUUGGUAAUUUUUAGAAUUUAUCCUUUUUUUCCUAGCACGACUCAUGAUAAUUUAUGUGAAGUCUCGUUUGAAAAAAUGAGGGCGCAUAGCUAACAGUCAAACCUGCUACUUUAAACUUUCUCAUUUGUUAAACAUUCUAAUGUAUGGAUAUAUGCUUAUUAUCUUCAUCCAAUUGUGCAUUUAUAAUUUUUCUUUUUGUCACUUUGUAUCGCGGAUAUGCGCUUAAAUUUAUUUAAUGGAUCCUAUGUUUGAACUACAUUUUUAACAUGGAAAUCUAUAUUCUCCACUUCCUUUGGUUCGGCAGGGGGCUCCCCGCCGACAGCAGCGCGGAGUGGAAGAAGCUCGCGGCGACAGGCGUCGGCGGCGUACUGGCAUACUGCACCAACUCUACGGUGCCGUGCGGUCCGUUCCUGUUCAUAUACAAACUCUGAUGAGUAGUACAAUCUACCGGCGUUGCCAUGAUCCAAGGAAUUUAAGUCUACCAGGGGCGUCAAUUGUUUGGGGCCUAUUUAGGACACAAUAAUUCUGUAGUAAGAUUUUCGCAGGAAUUUCACAAGCAUAUGUUCAGUUUUACAUGAAUUAGGAUUUACGGGUUUAGUGAUAGUCUGGAGUUAAGAUGCAAUCGUGUCUGCUCCUUGCUGCAUGAUCAGCAAGGCAUCACCAUUCUGAUUGUCCCCGUGCCUGCUCUUUUCUGCAUGAUUAGUUGGCUGCUCUGUUUUCGGAUUUAUUGGAUGCUGCAGUCUUUUGGUUGAUGCAUAUGUGUUCUUUCUGCGCUUUAGUUUUCAACACCCUGCUGUAGGAUGCAGUUUGCCAUGCCCAGCAUAUAUUUAUCGAAAUGACAAGCCUCCAAAACUUUGUGCAACGUGCGUUGCAAAUGAAGGCGUAUGGUAAUGUUGGUUGUCUGGUGCACUAAGUAUGUGUGGGUACUAAUCACCCUCUGCUUUGUUUCACAAUGCUAGAAUUGCAGACCAUGUGCCUUGGCAGAUCACCGGCCGGUGCCUUUCCUGGCUCUUCUCAGUCAUGCAGCUAUUUGCAUUGACCUUUUUGUCCUGACGCUUCCAGGACGACUUUGUUGUCUUUACAAUUAAAUUGUUCUCAGGACCAAUUUCUUAUGGCUCAUGGUAUCGUUAAUUCGUUAUGGACCAUGACGCAGCAUCACUGAUUUGGUAACUCUGAAUUCUGUAUUGCAGGGAAGUUAGUUACAGAAUAACUUUCUUGCAAUUUUUUUUUGUUGUUCAUGUAAAAUGAUGAUCUCCGAACUAAUUUCUUAUAAUUCGUCGCAAUCACCAUUCUUUUCAAUUUCAUUGAAGACUUAGCAGGAGAAAAGACGCUGCAAGAGAAACAUGACUUAACAAUAAAACUUAUGCACAAGAUUGGACUAUUCGAAGACCUGCAGGAUCGCCCCGCACACCGUUCAGUAUUAGAUACACACAUGGAAUGAAGUUCAUCACAUUCAGUGCAUUUCAAUCAGCAGCUUAAAACAGCUUGUUGAACAACAAGUAUCUUCUGCAGUCGUGUAGAAAAACACAUCCUUACAUCAAGUGUUGGUUGUGUUUCGCUUAUACUGGAGCGCACACAUAUUCAAACACGUCACACUUGAAAAGAACAAAGAAGGAUUAAAAACUGGAGCAUGCAUCUCUGUAUGCUAAAUUCUUCCAUUUGCAAUCUGGCAUUUGUUUUCUGCUCAAAAUCAAGGCCUUCAGCUUGACUUCACUGGUGAUAAUCUUCAGAAAGGGCACAUGUAUCUCGAGUCACAAUAAUCCAUCAUUUGCAGCCCUGGCAAUGAUCCUACAAAGAAGUCAAACACGGGAGUCAGCAUUAGAAGCUAGUGUCAUACAAAAUCAAUCAUCAGGCACACGAAUAUUACGAACCAUGGUAAUAUCUUUCAUCAGGUCUUCAAUAUGCUAUUUCAAGCAUGCCAGCCGCCUCCUAAUUGAAUAUUCCCGUCCUAGCAGGUCAGGUCGUGAUCAUAGAUGGUGUCAGAAGUUAUGCAUGCAAAUCAACACCAAAUUAUAAAAGUAUAUAUACAGGAGAAUGACUGUAUACGGCAUCCAAUAGUAUUGUACACGCAAAAAAUAUGUUUUAUGUAAAAAGGCAUAGGCAUUUAAACAAAAUUACACAUAUUCAAACCUUAUGUCAUGGAGCUAGUGAAUUUCGAGAAAAAACGUGAAGACAACUAACAGGGAAAAUAAUCACAGAGAGCAGUCAACUAUAGCAUACAAUAUUGGUUCAAAAUGACAGGAAAAAUAAAUUCAUCAGCCACUUGGAUUAGAACUAAUAUAGUUUGGCUGCAGUAAUUCCAUCAUGCCACACUUUAAUAUGUUAGUAAAGGAAGUUUGAUCGAUUAUACCUGAUUCGAAUUAACAAGGGGCGGCAAAAAUCAUCUGAUAACUAAAUUCCUUUGAGGGACCAGAGAAGAGAUGCACAAGGAUGACUACACUAUGGUGCAUCAUUAAUUUCUGCCUAAACUUGUUGACUGAAUUUUACUAGAGGUUCUAAACACUGUUAAAACUUUUUAAUCACUAAAUUGUACUACCACAUCUUGUCGUCACUACUAGUAUGCUUAUUUUGCUUUUUUGCCAAAACACCAAUUGAGCUCCUGGUCACUUUAUUAAAAGAAAUGGACAAAAAAAAAAGACUGGAGGUUACCUUCGUAACAUGCAUCUAGUGUUUUCUCCUCGAGAUGAUCCAGACGUUGCAGUAGGCUCAGGGGAAGCAACGUUAUACAAGGACAAGAUUCAAUCAUAAGAGCUCUAAGAUAUGAGUAGGCUUGAGGCCCAUUCGGUAAGGAUUGCAGGCUUUCGCAAUUCCAAAGGCGGAGGUCUUCCAGCAAUGGGAGCCUUCCUAAGCAAGAUUCCAGCGAUUUCAAAUUACUGCAAUUUCCAAUACAUAAUGUUUGGAGGGCAUCCAGUUGUCCCGAUAAGGAUCGAAGAUUGUAGCAGCACCUGAUCUCCAAGGUCUUGAUGGACGGAGGAAGAUUGGCAACCUCUGACAAGCCACGGCAAAGCAUUAUGUCUAGCGAUUCUAGGCAUGGAAGGAAGGGAUGGCUGGUUGAUGAUGACAGCUUCCGUACAGCUGUAGACGCCCUGGCUUCACUGCUGGAUCCUGGAAUCAGUGAUGACGUAUCCUCCUGCUGACCGAAUAUGAUGGACCCGAGCAUAAGGCAGUCGUAAAUACAUAAUGUCUUGGCCGGUAGGUUGGGAACCUCUACCAAAGAUUGACAUUCAUUUAAGUAUAGAGACUCUAGACAUGGCAGGAGUCCACUCCGUUCUGGAGCAGAUUGCUCAGAAGUUUCUUGUGUGCGUCCAGUCAGCUUGCUGCAUGCCCUAAUAUAUAACGUCCUCAAGGAUACUAGGGCCUGGAACACGUUUUCUGGCCAGUAGACAAGAGUGUCGCAAUACUGAAUUUUUAAAUCUACGAGCUGUGCAAAACAUGUCCAUAGUGGCAGUGCACUUGAAUGGGAGAACGAAAGGUUGUAUCUCAGUAAAUCCAUAUGUGUCAGAGGGGAUCUAUGCUCCCAUUUCUCCCUGCCAUGCACCAACUCACUCGAAUUCUGUUCAGCCACCGAUUCUGUUUCUGUAUUAUAGCCACACAACUCCAGGUUGGACAAUGAAGUGAUAUAUCUACUAGCUGCAUGCAGGGAUGAUAUUUGUUGGCUGGCUCCGUCUACUCGUAAUACACUUAGCUUCGGUGCUUCGGGUAGAGUAGUCAACUCUGGGCAACUCCGAAUUAUUAGUUUCUCAAGCCGAUGAAACGCUAGCUCUUCUCCUGAAUUUCUUUCGCCUGCCUCCCAUCGUUGAAACAUCUCAAGAUCAUCUAAUUCCAUUACCUUCAAUACUGGAAAUGCAGACCUGUACUCGGUCUUGACCCCUUCAAAUGUUUCUUUAAUAACUGAUGCUUUCGGCAAUGCAGCCAGACUUUUACACUCUUUGAUAAACAACAUCUCAAGCAGAGGAAAUGUUAGCUCUUCUCCUGGAGUUCUUUCGCCAUCCUCCCAUCGCUGAAACAUCUCAAGAUUUUUUAGUGUCAUUACCUUCAAUGCUGGAAAUGCGGACCUAUACUCAGUCUUGAUCCCUUCAAAUGUUUGUUUAAUAACUGAUGCUUUCGGCAAUGCAGCCAGACUUUUACAUUCUUUGAUUAAUAGCUUCUCAAGCAGAGGAAAUAUUGGCCUUUCUCCUCGCACCUCACCUGUGCCCCACCAUAUCUCAAAGUUUGGCAACUUCAAAAUUUUAAGGAUCUUCAGUUUCUGAAAUGUGAAGGCUGUAUCACUGCUGCACAAGUAACGUAUGUUUUCCAAUCCGCGCAAGCAAAGAAUUUGCAGAGCUGAUAACUGCCAGAAUGCAGGAAGCUUCUCGAGUCUUUUGCAAUCGGAAAACUCAAGCUCCACUAUACCUUGCAACUUAUUCAUCCAUGUUGGACAAGUGUCCAUACUGCAACAAUAUAUCCUUAGAACCUUCAGCCCAUCAUGAGGCUGCAGUCCUUCCAGUACCUCUUUAUCACUGUUAUGUGCCUCCUUGUCACAAUCACUCCAUCUCAAUGUCAAUCUGGCCAGUUUUUUCUUAUUUCUGAGUUUUGCCUCUUUUGCAUCUGCCUCUUUCACAUUUUCUAGCCGUUUAAGCUCCAGCUGACCACCAAGGUCGUCUAACCGCCUCAGUUCUCCCACCCUACUGCAAUCAGAGCCUGCACCUGCUACAAAGCAUGUCAGCGUCUGUAGGGAAGUGAGGUAUCUGAGGUCAGCAGGCAUGCUCUUUAACUUCCAACAUCCGUGAGUGUAGAGGUGACGGAGGGCAGUCAUGUACUUCAUUCCCUUUGGAAGUCGUUCAAGAUCAUCACAGUCAGAAAGGUUCAAUGUUUGCAGAUGAUAUAGGAUGCUUAUAUCUUCAGGAAGUGAUUUAAUAAAAUAGCUUCGUGAGAGAUCAAGAUAC